AAACCAGCACCUCAAGUGGUCAGGAUGAUUAUUGGGCCUAAAGCAUCCGUAGCCUGGUGCAUAAGUUUUCGGUUAAAUCCAUAUGCUCAACAUAUGGGCCGCCGGAAAUACUGUGCACCUAGGGAGUGGGAGAGGUAGACGGUACUCGGUAGGAAGGGGUAAAAUCCUUUGAUCUAUUGAUGACCACCUGUGGCGAAGGCGGUCUACCAGAACACGUUCGACGGUGAGGGAUGAAAGCUGGGGGAGCAAACCGGAUUAGAAACCCCGGUAGUCC
rnacentral:rRNA from 1 species